rnacentral:lncRNA from 1 species
UCCCUGCCGGCCCCCUCCUCUCUCUCUCUCUCUCUCUCUCUCUCUCUCUCUCCCUCCCUGCCGGCCCCCCUCCUAUCUCUCUCUCUCUCUCUCUCUCCCUCCCUGCCGGCCCCCCUCCUCUCUCUAUCUCCCCCCCUGCCGGCCCCCCUCCUCUCUCUCUCUCUCUCUCUCUCUCCCUCCCUGCCUGCCCCUCUCCUCCCUCCUCUCUCUCUCUCUCUCUCUCUCUCUCUCUCUCCCUCCCUGCCUGCCUGCCCCUCUCCUCCCUCCUCUCUCUCUCUCUCUCUCCCUGCCUGCCCCUCUCCUCCCUCCUCUCUCUCUCUCUCUCUCUCUCUCUCUCUCUCUCUCUCUCUCUCUCUCUCUCUCUCUCUCUCUCUCUCUCUACCUCACUGCCUGCCCCUCUUCUCCCUCCUCUCUCUCCCUCCCUCCCUGCCUGCCCCUCUCCUCCCUCCUCUCUCUCUCUCUCUCUCUCUACCUCACUGCCUGCCCCUCUUCUCCCUCCUCUCUCUCUCUACCUCACUACCUGCCCCUCUCCUCCCUCCUCUCUCUCUCCCUCACUGCCUGCCCCUCUCCUCCCUCCUCUCUCUCUCUACCUCACUGCCUGCCCCUCUCCUCCCUCCUCUCUCUCUCUACCUCACUGCCUGCCCCUCUCCUCCCUCCUCUCUCUCUCUACCUCACUGCCUGCCCCUCUCCUCCCUCCUCUCUCUCUCUACCUCACUGCCUGCCCCUCUCCUCCCUCCUCUCUCUCUCUACCUCACUGCCUGCCCCUCUCCUCCCUCCUCUCUCUCUCUACCUCACUGCCUGCCCCUCUCCUCCCUCCUCUCUCUCUCUCUACCUCACUGCCUGCCCCUCUCCUCCCUCCUCUCUCUCUCUCUACCUCACUGCCUGCCCCUCUCCUCCCUCCUCUCUCUCUCUCUACCUCACUGCCUGCCCCUCUCCUCCCUCCUCUCUCUCUCUCUACCUCACUGCCUGCCCCUCUCCUCCCUCCUCUCUCUCUCUCUACCUCGCUGCCUUCUCCUCCCUCCUCUCUCUCUCUACCUCGCUGCCUUCUCCUCCCUCCUCUCUCUCUCUACCUCGCUGCCUGCCCCUUCCUCCCUCCUCUCUCUCUCUACCUCGCUGCCUGCCCCUCUCCUCCCUCCUCUCCCUCUUUACCUCGCUGCCGGCCCCUCUCCUCCCUCCUCUCUCUCUUUACCUCGCUGCCUGCCCCUCUCCUCCCUCCUCUCUCUCUCUACCUCGCUGCCUGCCCCUCUCCUCCCUCCUCUCUCUCUCUUCCUCGCUGCCUGCCCCUCCCUCUCUACCCCGCUGCCGGCCCCUCUCCUCCCUCCUCUCUCUCUUUACCUCGCUGCCUGCCCCUCUCCCCCCUCUCUACCUCGCUGCCGGCCCCUCUCCCCCCUCUCUACCUCGCUGCCGGCCCCUCUCCUCCCUCCUCUCUCUCUUUACCUCGCUGCCUGCCCCUCUCCCCCCUCUCUACCUCGCUGCCUGCCCCUCUCCCCCCUCUCUACCUCGCUGCCGGCCCCUCUCCCCCCUCUCUACCUCGCUGCCGGCCCCUCUCCUCCCUCCUCUCUCUCUUUACCUCGCUGCCUGCCCCUCUCCUCCCUCCUCUCUCUCUCUACCUCGCUGCCUGCCCCUCCCUCUCUACCUCGCUGCCGGCCCCUCCCUCUUUACCUCGCUGCCGGCCCCUCCCUCUCUACCUCGCUGCCUGCCCCUCCCUCUUUACCUCGCUGCCGGCCCCUCCCUCUCUACCUCGCUGCCUGCCCCUCCCUCUUUACCUCGCUGCCGGCCCCUCUCCUCCCUCCUCUCUCUCUCUACCUCGCUGCCUGCCCCUCCCUCUCUACCUCGCUGCCGGCCCCUAUCCUCCCUCCUCUCUCUCUCCUCUGAUAAGUGGUGUGAGCUGUGAAGGCAUCAUUUAUUGCCCUGGGCUUCCCUCAGAGGACUUUGUAUGGCUCCCGGCAGGAUCCUGGCAGCCAUUGAACAAGUCUCUGAGCAAGAGGAGUUUGAUUUCUGUUACUGCUGAAAUGACAAAUGAGAUGAAUAUCCUCUGUGGCGCGAGUGUGUAUGUGUCUGUCUGUGUGUUUUUCGUUGCACUGUAGUUAUGGCGACUACAACGACAAGUGCAAACAAGUCUGUCAGAAGGACAACCUCAGAAUGUUCCGGGAAGUGCAAACAACAUCAUACAGACUGCAUUUAACAGACCAUGACACACUAUUAAUGUGACUGUCCGUUUGGUUUUCCAGAACAAGUAGCUGCAGUAGAUUAGCCUGGGCGGGGUGUUGAGUACAAUCCGCCACACUCUCUCCCUGUGGGGAACCGGAGGUCUAGGUAUUUCAUCCUGCUCUCCCCUUAUGGAAUCCACUGUGAAUAAAAAGACCUCCAUCAGCAAAGAAACUCUCCCAUUGAUCCGUGUGUUGGAUUGAAACGUUAAUUGCACGUAACACAUUUGAACCCAGAAUGUAAUUUGCUCGGGUGCGCUGGAGGCAGUGGAAUGAAUUGAUUAAACUCAGCUGAGAUUAGAGUCUGGGGAGAAGGCCUGUGUUGUACAAAAGUAUUCUAUUUUAAAAUAAGAACUCCAUCUGGUGAAGAUCUCCAGGUCUUGUUAAGAGGUUCCAGAACCACUGUAAUUUGGAGAUGUAAUGCUGUUUUAAAGCUCUGGUUUCCUCUCCUCGGGAGGCUUAAUGUCAUUUAGAGAGAGAGAGAGGGAGAGAGAGAGAGCAGAACUCUGUAUAUUUGUUAAAGCAAACUAACAGUGUGCUUAUGUUUGUUUUAUUUUAAAAAGCUGCUCC